UACGUAGGGGGCAAGCGUUGUCCGGAAUCAUUGGGCGUAAAGCGCGUGUAGGCGGCCUUGUAAGUCUGUUCUGAAAGCCCGGGGCUCAACCCCGGGAGGCGGAUGGAUACUGCAAGGCUCGAGUACGGAAGAGGCGAGUGGAAUCCCGGUGUAGCGGUGAAAUGCGCAGAUAUCGGGAGGAACACCAAUGGCGAAGGCAGCUCGCUGGGACGUUACUGACGCUGAGACGCGAAAGCGUGGGGAGCAAACAGG
rnacentral:rRNA from 1 species